UAUGGCCAUAUCACGUCAAAACGCCGGUUCUCGUACGAUCACCGAAGUUAAACAACGUCGAGCUUGUCAUUAUCUAGAUGGGUGACCACUUGGGAACACCAGGUGAUGUAA